AUAAGUAUUCCACCUGGGGAGUACGCCGGCAACGGUGAAACUCAAAGGAAUUGACGGGGGCCCGCACAAGCGGAGGAACAUGUGGUUUAAUUCGAUGAUACGCGAGGAACCUUACCCGGGCUUAAAUUGCAGUGGAAUGAUGUGGAAACAUGUCAGUGAGCAAUCACCGCUGUGAAGGUGCUGCAUGGUUGUCGUCAGCUCGUGCCGUGAGGUGUCGGCUUAAGUGCCAUAACGAGCGCAACCCUUAUCUUUAGUUACUAACAGGUUAUGCUGAGGACUCUGGAGAGACUGCCGUCGUAAGAUGUGAGGAAGGUGGGGAUGACGUCAAAUCAGCACGGCCCUUACGUCCGGGGCUACACACGUGUUACAAUGGGGGGUACAGAAGGCAGCUAGCGGGUGACCGUAUGCUAAUCCCAAAAGCCUCUCUCAGUUCGGAUCGAAGUCUGCAACCCGACUUCGUGAAGCUGGAUUCGCUAGUAAUCGCGCAUCAGCCACGGCGCGGUGAUACGUUCCCGGGCCUUGUACACACCGCCCGUCAAGCCAUGGGAGCCGGGGGUACCUGAAGUACGUAACCGCAAGGAUCGUCCUAGGGUAAACUGGUGACUGGGGCUAAGUGUAACAAGUAACCAA
rnacentral:rRNA from 1 species